rnacentral:lncRNA from 1 species
GCAUUACAGUUCUUAAAGGCAGUCUGUCUGGACAGCCUUCCUUCUGAUGUUCAGAUGUGUUCAGAGUUUUUUCCUUCUGGUGGGUUCGUGGUCUCACUGGCUUCAGAAGUGAAGCUACAAACUUCACAGUGAGUGUUACAGCUCAUAAAGGCAGUGUGGACCCAACGAGUGAGCAACAGUAAUAUUUAUUACAAAAAGCAAAACAACAAAAGUUCCACAACGUGGAAGGAAAACCCAGUAGGUUGCCACUGCUGGCUCAGGCAGCCAGCUUUUAUUCUCUUAUCUGGCCCCACCCACAUCCUGCUGAUUGGUCCAUUUUACAGAGAGCCGAUUGGUCUGUUUCACAGAGAGCUGAUUGGUCCAUUUUGACAGGGUGCUGAUUGGUGCAUUUACAAUCCCUGAGCUAGACACAAAAGUUCUCCACCUCCCCGCUAGAUUAGCUAGAUACAGAGUGUCCAUUGGUGUAUUUACAACCCCUGAGCUAGAGACAGAGUGCUGAUUGGUGUAUUUACAAUCCCUUAGCUAUACAUAAAGAUUCUCCAAGUCCCCACCAGACUUAGGAGCCUAUCUGGCUUCUCCCAGUGGAUCCCGAACUGGGGCCGCAGGUGGAGCUGCCUGCCAGUCCCGCGCAGUGCGCCCGCACUCUUCAGCCUUUGGCGGUCGAUGGGACUGGGCGCUGUGGAGCUGGGAGCAGUGCUCUCGUCGGGGAGGCUCGGCCAGGCAGGAGCCCAUGGCGGAGGUGGGGCGGGGGAGGCUCAGGCACGGCGGGCUGCAGGUCCCAAGCCCUGCCCCGUGGGGAGGCAGCCCAGGUGCUAAGCCCCUCACUGCCCGGGGCUUCCGGGCCGGCCGGCCGCUCAGAGUGCGGGGCCUGCCGAGCCCACGCCCACCCGGAACUCGCGCUGGCCCGCAAGCGCCGCGUGCAGCCACGGUUCCCGACAGCGCCUCUCCCUCCACACCUCCCCGCAAGCUGAGGGAGCCGGCUCCAGCCUUGACCAGCCCAGAAAAGGGCUCCCACAGUGCAGCGGCGGGCUGAAGGGCUCCUCAGGCGCCGCCAGAAUGGGCGCCGAGGCUGAGGCACCGAGAGCGAGCGUGGGCUGCGAGGGCUGCCAGUAUGCUGUCACCUCUCAGUAUGAUAGAAAAAACCUGCUGUACUGCCACUGCCCAAUAUAUAAUAUUUCAGGAAACAUUGCUUUAUGAAGGGCUCCAUAACAGUUAAUGAAGGUUUACACCAACUGAAAAACAUGAAGAAGAAAAGGAAGGAAGAAAGAGAUGGUAGAAAGAAAGGAAAGAUGAAUGGAAAAGAAAAACUACUACUUGUGGAAUGCUCAGUGUAUGCUAGAUGUCUUCAUUGGUAGCAUUGCAUUUACUUCUCAAGGAUCAGGAGAGGCCAUUUCCUUUUUACAAAGGGGAAAAAAAAACUCCAAGAGGAGAAUUUCUUGUACCCCUUCAGUUCGGUGGCAUGCAAUCUCUAAUGUUAGCAUUUAUUAGGAAGGGGGAAAAAGGCGAUGGAGUCCAGGUCUGGUGGUAUUGACAACCUUCCAAUUAAAGUGGCCUUUGAAGAAGUUUCAGUUGCUUCCUGUCAUUUCAUUAGAGACAAGGAUUGGGAACUCCAUAAGGUUUCCACACUUGCACUUUUAAAACCAAAGGGGCUUACAUUAAUACAAUACAUGUGAAUAGAUCUUUUCUUCAAAAUCUGACAUGUCACCUGGCUCCACAGAGAAGACAAACUCACACCUUAUUGGGGGAUGGUGGAAUAGACUUUUGAAAUUAGGAGAAAUUGUAUGAUGUGUCAUUAAAUGCAAUUUCUUUUUAAGAAUUCUCUCAUUGGUAAUUAUUCUUAUUAUGUAGGUGGACAGUCUCUUAAUAUAGAUAAAGACCUUUGCAGCUGCUCUCAUCGUCGG